CGGGGGCUAGGUCGACCUCGGCGGUGACCACGUCGAUGGCCUCGGCGUGGUCGUCGACCAGCACGAUCCGUUCGACGCGGGCGCCCUCGCCCA
rnacentral:tRNA from 1 species